rnacentral:rRNA from 1 species
GACGAACCGUGCGAACGUUAUUCGGAAUCACUGGGCUUAAAGCGCGUGUAGGCGGGCCAUCACGUCGGUCGUUGAAAGCCCCCGGCUCAACCGGGGAACCGGCGCCGAUACGAGUGGCCUGGAGGGGGGUAGGGGGAGCUGGAACUUCCGGUGGAGCGGUGAAAUGCGUUGAGAUCGGAAGGAACGCCCGUGGCGAAAGCGAGGUCCUGGACCCCAUCUGACGCUGAGACGCGAAAGCCAGGGGAGCGAACGGG